GAUCCAUUAGCUUAGUGGUUAGAGCAUUGGUCUUAUGAGCCAAAGGUCGUGGGUUCGAGCCCCACAUGGAUCA
rfam:Babesia sp. Xinjiang scaffold19, whole genome shotgun sequence.